ACUCCUACGGGAGGCAGCAGUGGGGAAUCUUGCGCAAUGGGCGAAAGCCUGACGCAGCCAUGCCGCGUGUAUGAUGAAGGUCUUAGGAUUGUAAAAUACUUUCACCGGGGAAGAUAAUGACGGUACCCGGAG
rnacentral:rRNA from 1 species